CCUACGGGAGGCAGCAGUGAGGAAUAUUGGUCAAUGGUCGGGAGACUGAACCAGCCAAGCCGCGUGAGGGAUGAAGGUACAGAGUAUCGUAAACCUCUUUUGUCAGGGAACAAAGGCGGGGACGUGUCCCCGGAUGAGUGUACCUGAAGAAAAAGCAUCGGCUAACUCCGUGCCAGCAGCCGCGGUAAUACGGAGGAUGCGAGCGUUAUCCGGAUUUAUUGGGUUUAAAGGGUGCGCAGGCGGUCUGUUAAGUCAGCGGUCAAAGCCCGGGGCUCAACCCCGGCCCGCCGUUGAAACUGGGAGUCUCGAGUUGGAGAGAAGGAAGCGGAAUGCGCGGUGUAGCGGUGAAAUGCUUAGAUAUCGCGCAGAACUCCGAUUGCGAAGGCAGCAUGCCGGCUCCACACUGACGCUGAGGCACGAAAGCGUGGGUAGCGAACAGGAUUAGAUACCCCUGUAGUC
rnacentral:rRNA from 1 species